CUCUAUACGGAGUUACAAAGGACGACAUUAGACGAAUCAUCUGGAAAGAUGAAUCAAAGAAGGUAAUAAUCCUGUAGUCGAAAAUGUUGUCUCUCUUGAGUGGAUCCUGAGUACGACGGAGCACGUGAAAUUCCGUCGGAAUCUGGGAGGACCAUCUCCUAAGGCUAAAUACUCUCUAGUGACCGAUAGUGAACCAGUACCGUGAGGGAAAGGUGAAAAGCACCCCGGAAGGGGAGUGAAAUAGAACCUGAAACCGUGUGCUUACAAGUAGUCAGAGCCCGUUAAUGGGUGAUGGCGUGCCUUUUGUAGAAUGAACCGGCGAGUUACGAUUUGAUGCAAGGUUAAGCAGUAAAUGUGGAGCCGUAGCGAAAGCGAGUCUGAAUAGGGCGUUUAGUAUUUGGUCGUAGACCCGAAACCAGGUGAUCUACCCUUGGUCAGGUUGAAGUUCAGGUAACACUGAAUGGAGGACCGAACCGACUUACGUUGAAAAGUGAGCGGAUGAACUGAGGGUAGCGGAGAAAUUCCAAUCGAACCUGGAGAUAGCUGGUUCUCUCCGAAAUAGCUUUAGGGCUAGCCUCAAGUGAUGAUUAUUGGAGGUAGAGCACUGUUUGGACGAGGGGCCCCUCUCGGGUUACCGAAUUCAGACAAACUCCGAAUGCCAAUUAAUUUAACUUGGGAGUCAGAACAUGGGUGAUAAGGUCCGUGUUCGAAAGGGAAACAGCCCAGACCACCAGCUAAGGUCCCAAAAUAUAUGUUAAGUGGAAAAGGAUGUGGCGUUGCCCAGACAACUAGGAUGUUGGCUUAGAAGCAGCCAUCAUUUAAAGAGUGCGUAAUAGCUCACUAGUCGAGUGACACUGCGCCGAAAAUGUACCGGGGCUAAACAUAUUACC
rnacentral:rRNA from 1 species